rnacentral:rRNA from 1 species
GAUGAACGCUGGCGGCGUGCCUAAUACAUGCAAGUCGAGCGAACGGACGAGAAGCUUGCUUCUCUGAUGUUAGCGGCGGACGGGUGAGUAACACGUGGAUAACCUACCUAUAAGACUGGGAUAACUUCGGGAAACCGGAGCUAAUACCGGAUAAUAUUUUGAACCGCAUGGUUCAAAAGUGAAAGACGGUCUUGCUGUCACUUAUAGAUGGAUCCGGGCUGCAUUAGCUAGUAGGUAAGGUAACGGCUUACCAAGGCAACGAUGCAUAGCCGACCUGAGAGGGUGAUCGGCCACACUGGAACUGAGACACGGUCCAGACUCCUACGGGAGGCAGCAGUAUGGAAUCUGCCGCAAUGGGCGAAAGCCUGACGGAGCAACGCCGCGUGAGUGAUGAAGGUCUUCGGAUCGUAAAACUCUGUUAUUAGGGAAGAACAUAUGUGUAAGUAGCUGUGCACAGCUUGACGGUACCUAGUCAGAAAGCCACGGCUAACUACGUG